UACGGAGGGUGCAAGCGUUAUCCGGAUUCACUGGGUUUAAAGGGAGCGCAGGCGGGCUGGUAAGUCAGUGGUGAAAGCCUUGAGCUUAACUCGAGAACUGCCAUUGAUUCUAUCAGUCUUGAAUAUUGUUGAGGUUUGCGGAAUGGGUCAUGUAGCGGUGAAAUGCAUAGAUAUGACCCGGAACACCUAUUGCGAAGGCAGCAGGCUAAACAAAGAUUGACGCUGAGGCUCGAAAGCGUGGGGAUCAAACAGG
rnacentral:rRNA from 1 species